rnacentral:misc_RNA from 1 species
GAUGAAGAACGUAGCGAAAUGCGAUAACUAAUGUGAAUUGCAGAAUUCCGUGAAUCAUCGAGUCUUUGAACGCACAUUGCGCCCCCUGGUAUUCCGGGGGGCAUGCCUGUCCGAGCGUCAUUGCUGCCCAUCAAGCACGGCUUGUGUGUUGGGUCCCGUCCCCCUCUCCGGGGGACGGACCCGAAAGGCAGCGGCGGCACCGCGUCCGGUCCUCGAGCGUAUGGGGCUUUGUCACCCGCUCUUGUAGGCCCGGCCGGCGCUUGCCGACACCCAACCAUUUUUUUCAGGUUGACCUCGGAUCAGGUAGGGAUACCCGCUGAACUUAAGCAUAUCAAUAAGCGGAGGA